CUUUAUAAUUUUAAAAAUUAACAUAUGAAAGUGUAGUAUUACAACAUUAAAUUAGAUUUAUUUAAUUUAUACUAUCUAUAAAUUUAAUGGAUCAUCUAUUUUUUAAUUUCAAUUAUUGAUAGCCCAAUAAAAAUAUCUGGUAUGUCCAAAAUUGAAAUGAUAAGAUUAGAGACUAAUUGUAACAUGACUUUCUAGGAAUAUGUUGAUUAGAUUCAUUUUUAAAAAAAUCACACAUGAAUUAAUGUCGUGACUUCUAUUUUAAUAUAUAAUAUUGUUGAAGAUCUUAUAGUAAUAACUUUAGUCAAAUUUCACAAUACAGUAGUCAAGGUUCAUAGUACCUUAGUCAAAAAUUUCUUUUCUUUUUUGAUCAAAAGUCAAAGAUUUCUAACUAAAUAAAAGGAUCGUUGUGGAAGCACCGUAGCCUAGUGGUUAUGGUUUAAAGGCUUCUACACCCAGGUCUGGGGUUCAAAUCCCAGACUAUGCAAUUUCUUGCAGAUUGCACAGGAAAUCCAUGUUUCAAUUCCCGGAGCGAGCGAUUUAUUCAACAAUUAUGCGAUUACGGAAGAAAGGCUUACAAGAGUUUCUCAACAUGGUGCAAGUAAAUCCGGCCAGGCGUGAUCUUCAUAGGACGGUUCAAAUGAGGCAGUUAGACGUAGAUCCUCAUAAGGCAGGUAGUAUUGUCGGUAAUCGAAUCGUCUUUGUAAUCUUUCUCAUAAUUGUAAUAUCUAAAUAAAUCUCCGACAAAAAAUAAAAUAAAAGGAUUGUUUUGCAUUUAGUCAAAAAAAGUUAUUUUGUUGCUUUUCUUUGUGUUAACGGUUUGCAAGUAGUCAAAGUUCUAAUUUGGGCAAUAAAUUAUUUUGACCAGAUUCACUAGAAAGUUUAAUAUAUUCAAUUUACCAAAUGUCUAUAAAAUGAAAUAUUCAAAUAUACAAACAAAUCAUUUUUGACCCAAUAUUAUUUUAGUGAAUAUGGAAGAUCAAAUAAUGGAAAAGGUAAAUAAAAGGAGUAAAGUUGACUUUUCCCAAGACUAAAAGCAAUAUAAAUAGAUCCUUUUCAGAUCAAAAGAAUCAAGAACAAUUGUUCGCUGUAUAAAAAAUAUUACUAUGGCUAUCACAAAAACUUGGGUGACUUUUUGUCUCGCAAUAAUUUUAGUGUAUUCGUUGUCAAAUCACAACGUUUUGACUUCAGGUGCAGAAAUGGAGAAGGUCCAACAUAAGUAUACGUUUUGCGCUAAAAGUCUGUGUACAGACUCGUACUCACCACGUAUGUGCUUCGUUGACUGUGUUUCUAAAGGGUUUCUAACCGGAGAUUGUAUUACUCCUCCCAAUUCUCCGUUACGAUGUUGUUGUGCCAAUGAAUGAUUUGAGCGUUGUAUUACAAUUUCCUGAGUAUAAGUUCAAUUCCUAAUGAACCCAACGAAAUAAAGCUAUUUCAUUAUAAUGAAUGUGUUUAACCAAUCAA